AUUGAACGCUGGCGGAAUGCUUUACACAUGCAAGUCGAACGGCAGCACGGACUUCGGUCUGGUGGCGAGUGGCGAACGGGUGAGUAACAUAUCGGAACGUAUCCAAUAAUGGGGGAUAACUGAUCGAAAGGUUGGCUAAUACCGCAUACGCCUACGGGGAAAGCAGGGGAUCUUCGGACCUUGCGUUAAUGGAGCGGCUGAUAUCUGAUUAGCUUGUUGGUGAGGUAAAGGCUCACCAAGGCGACGAUCUGUAGCUGGUCUGAGAGGACGACCAGCCACACUGGGACUGAGACAUGAUCCAAACUCGUGAUGCU
rnacentral:rRNA from 1 species